GAGGGCACAGCUCAGUGGUAGAGAGCAUGCUUAGCAUGCACGAGGUCCUGGGUUCAAUCCCCAGCACCUCCA
rnacentral:tRNA from 1 species